rnacentral:rRNA from 1 species
GUGGGGAAUUUUGGACAAUGGGCGCAAGCCUGAUCCAGCAAUGCCGCGUGCAGGAAGAAGGCCUUCGGGUUGUAAACUGCUUUUGUACGGAACGAAACGGUCCGGGUUAAUACCCUGGGCUAAUGACGGUACCGUAAGAAUAAGCACCGGCUAACUACGUGCCAGCAGCCGCGGUAAUACGUAGGGUGCAAGCGUUAAUCGGAAUUACUGGGCGUAAAGCGUGCGCAGGCGGUUUUGUAAGACAGACGUGAAAUCCCCGGGCUCAACCUGGGAAUGGCGUUUGUGACUGCAAAGCUGGAGUGCGGCAGAGGGGGAUGGAAUUCCGCGUGUAGCAGUGAAAUGCGUAGAUAUGCGGAGGAACACCGAUGGCGAAGGCAAUCCCCUGGGCCUGCACUGACGCUCAUGCACGAAAGCGUGGGGAGCAAACAGGAUUAGAAACCCGUGUAGUCC